rnacentral:rRNA from 1 species
GACGAACGCUGGCGGCGUGCUUAACACAUGCAAGUCGAGCGAUGAAACUUUCUUCGGAAAGUGGAUUAGCGGCGGACGGGUGAGUAACACGUGGGUAACCUGCCUCAUAGAGGGGAAUAGCCUUUCGAAAGGAAGAUUAAUACCGCAUAAGAUUGUAAUAUCGCAUGGUAUAGCAAUUAAAGGAGUAAUCCGCUAUGAGAUGGACCCGCGUCGCAUUAGCUAGUUGGUGAGGUAACGGCUCACCAAGGCGACGAUGCGUAGCCGACCUGAGAGGGUGAUCGGCCACAUUGGGACUGAGACACGGCCCAGACUCCUACGGGAGGCAGCAGUGGGGAAUAUUGCACAAUGGGGGAAACCCUGAUGCAGCAACGCCGCGUGAGUGAUGACGGUCUUCGGAUUGUAAAGCUCUGUCUUUAGGGACGAUAAUGACGGUACCUAAGGAGGAAGCCACGGCUAACUACGUG